GAGCAUGGGCCGAAAUCUGCGGCUGAAGCUGCCACACUUGCUGAUGUGUUUGUUGCUGCCCGGAAAAAGGGCCAGCCAUGGAGUAGUAUGGGUGGAAAGGCUGGUAAGGAUGGCCACAGGCCCAUACCCCCUCAGUACCAACAGAGGCCGGCGCCAGGAGUGGGUAAGCCCCCUAUGAGGGAGAACCAAUAUACACCACCUAGAGCUCCUAACAGAACGCCCAUUUGCUACUUGUGUGGACAGGAAGGUCAUGUUAAACCAAUGUGCCCGAAGAAUCCAGCAAAGCUGACCCAAAUGUGUUUUAUUCCACGCCAGAGUGCUAACCCUGAACCCAAAGGUAAUCACACCAUGAGAAUGACUUGGGUUAAAAUUAAUGGGGAAAACCUUAGAGCCCUGAUUGACACUGGCAGUACUCAGACCCUUGUUCAGAGAAAAUAUGUACCAGCUAAUGCUAUCUGUACCCUUGAGACUGUCCCUAUUUGCUGUGUACACGGUGAUGAAAAGCAUUACCCCACUGCUGAUAUUUAUCUGGAGAUAGAGGGACAGAUGUAUCUGUUAAAUGUGGGAGUUGCGGAUCACUUACCCUUCCCUGUAGUUUUGGGUGAAGAUCUGCCAGUACUCUAUGACUUGAUAAAGCCGGUGCAAAGUUGUAAUGUGGUCACUAGAGCACAAGCUAAGCAGGUGGAUGCAGACUCCAUAACCCUCAGUGCCUUGCCCUUCUAUAAUGAAGUGUUUGAGACAUGUCCCUGGAAAGCUCACAAGACUCGUAGUCAGAGGAGGACAGACAAAUUUCAGGGCACGCCUAUACAACCAUCAGCUGAGGCUACUCCAGACAUGUCCCUGGGGUUUCAAAUACCUACAGAUAUAAUGCAAAUGCAGGAAAAUGACCCAACUUUGUCUACCCUUUUGCAGAGAGUACGAGGAAGGAAGAAGGAGACUAAUACUUAUGGUGUGCAAAAUGAGUACGUCCUACAGAACGGUGUUCUUUACCAUCAGAAUGGCCAGGUGAAG
ensembl:lncRNA